rnacentral:rRNA from 1 species
GAUGAACGCUAGCGGGAGGCUUAAUACAUGCAAGUCGAGGGGUAACAUGAGUGCUUGCACUUGAUGACGACCGGCGCACGGGUGAGUAACGCGUACACAACCUACCUACGAGAGGGGGAUAGCCUUUGGAAACGGAGAGUAAUACCCCAUAGUAUUAUGAUUUUGAUUAGAUUAUAAUUAAAGAUUUAUCGCUUGUAGAUGGGUGUGCGUUUCAUUAGCUAGUUGGUACGGUAACGGCGUACCAAGGCGACGAUGAGUAGGGGGCGUGAGAGCGUGAUCCCCCACACGGGUACUGAGACACGGACCCGACUCCUACGGGAGGCAGCAGUAAGGAAUAUUGGACAAUGGAGGCAACUCUGAUCCAGCCAUCCCGCGUGUAGGAAGACGGCCCUAUGGGUUGUAAACUACUUUUACUAGGGAAGAAUGUGUGUCAUUUAUGACAUUUUGACGGUACCUAGAGAAUAAGCACCGGCUAACUCCG